UACGUAGGGGGCAAGCGUUGUCCGGAUUUAUUGGGCGUAAAGAGCUCGUAGGCGGUUUGGUAAGUCAGGUGUGAAAUCUCCACGCUCAACGUGGAGGGGCCACCUGAUACUGCCAUGACUGGAGUCCGGUAGAGGAGUGUGGAAUUCCCGGUGUAGCGGUGAAAUGCGCAGAUAUCGGGAGGAACACCAGUGGCGAAGGCGACACGCUGGGCCGUACCUGACACUGAUGCGCGACAGCAUGGGGAGCAAACAGG
rnacentral:rRNA from 1 species